CUCUCUCUCUCUCUCUCUCAAAAAUAAACAUUUAAAAAAAUUAAAAAAAAGAUAUUUAGCCUCAGACAUAUAGAGAGGGAAGAGGAGAGGCCCCAAGAGGAAUCAGACCUGCUAGCCACUCCAUCUUGGAUUUCCAGCCUCCACAACUGUGGGAAAGUAAACUGUUGCCCAAGCCCCCCCUCCAGGCGGUGGCCCUUGGCUCUGGUGGCCCUGGCAAACCAACACACAGGGUAGUAGAAACCGUGAGAACAACGGACCAAGCUCCACCAGAGCUGAAAGGGUUGCAAAAAAAAAAAAAAAAAAAAAGAGGAAGGACACUUAUUUCUUUACACUUUGAUGUGUGGAUAUCGCAAAGAAGUGAAGAAAAACAGUCACAAUCCUGAAUUCUGCUGAGCCUUUAUUUCAAAGUACCACCUCUUUUGAAAUUCUUCAACUGUCACCACGUGAGACCCUAUGAGCGCGUCCAAAUGAGGCGGCAAUAAAUACAAAGCUUUCAGAUCCAGAUGAAUUGAAUUAGAACGGGAAGAGCGAGAAAGACUUAAGAGGCAAGUGCUUACACGCAGAACGACACAGAUGCAGAACGGGUCCUGAAAUGCGGCGCUGCACGCUGCGGUAACGACUGAUGAGAGGGAAGAGGAGAAAGCAGAGGGUGAGGCGGGGGCAAGGCAGCCUCGCCGUGCAACGAGUUCCCUUCCCGAGCCUCGGCAAGAAUCACAUCCCAGCUCUGGGAAAGAAUCAGGACAGGAUUCCCAGUGUAUGGGAAACAGAACCUCGGAAGGCUUGUUUUAGAGACUCCGCGCUGACUUUCAACACCUGCUUCGAGGAGCACUUUUCGUCUUGAGUAUUUCCGUGGACGUUGAUGAAGGAGCCGGCAAUGCUUGUCUUAAAUUUUUGUGAAUAAAAGCAAUUCAGAAACGC